GAUAAAGAAGUCGCACCUGACUAUAAGUCACAGGACCAGCCAAACUAUGAAAAAAAAGUGCGACUUAUAGUCCGGAAAAUACGGUAAUUCAUUAUGAGCUCUGUUUUAGGUGAUAACGAGCCAGUUUGCUACAGUAUGUGUCAUCUACUUAGGCAGCUACCUUCAUAUUUGUAUAUAUUUAAAGCCUGUUAUGUAUCUCUUAGACCCUACAUUGCAUCGUAGUAAUAGUAUAGAAGAAUAGUGCAUAGUUCAGUCCCUCCAGAAAAACGCAGAUUUUUUUUUGUGAUUGUUGCGGGCAAAAAUCCUUGAAGUUUUUUGCAACGAAAAUACAGGUAUUAUGAAAUCAUGCUAGCCCCGCAAAUUUUACUUUCUGAAAUCGGUAAUUUAUGCGGCAAAAGAGCGUCAUAUUUGAAAAAAUGUGAGCCUUUGGCUGAUUAUGCAUUAAAUCAAGCGAUCGCAUAAUCACGUUUUCUGGAGGGACUGAUAGUUUUAAAAACGACUCGUUUUAAUGAUUCAGAGUCGAUUCUUUCUUUUGAGAGACAAUAACUUUAUACAGGGUGCACUUUCAGAUUUAAGACUCAGAGUAUUUUCAUUCGCUUAGAGCUGUGUUACACACUGCAUGUAAGGUCAUUUUGAAAAAUCCAUAUUAGGGACUGAAGGAGUGGAUGCCGAUUUGCCAUAUCCUUCAUACUGAUAUUAAUUAUUUUAUUACAUGAUUUCUUGUUUGACUAUUAAUCAAGUUAUAGCAAGAGUGAAAUGUGUAACCUUAUGUGUGCUGUAUUUCUUUUCCUCAAGAUUAAUGUCCACAUAUUAUGUGUGCGUAUCAAACCGUAAUGAUAAGACACUCGCCAGUGCUAGAAAGCCUUGAAUUUUAGAUAAGUUCUCUGUGUAUGUGUGUUAGUAUCUGUCUGUACAGGGAGAAGCUCAGACAGUCCCAGGACAAACGAUCAACUGCCAGUGUCCAGCAUAUCAGAUAUACGUCUUUGGAGAGUUUUAUCUAGGUUUUGGAACCAAUCAGAAUUUUGUUGACUCAUGUAUUGACGCAAUUAGUAUCCUCUGUCAGGGUAUAACUGUGGUUGAUUUUGUAUUGUACUGGGGGCGGCCUGCGAACUCCUUCGAGAGUGUUGAAGCUGACUUCUGCUGAUGAAAUUGCAAACUAUUUUCUUCAAGUAAAAUUAUUAUUAUUAACUGAACUCAUCUCUGAGUCCUGGUCUUCAUUGCGACAUAUCUGGUCCUUGGGUUUUAACUGUAAAUUCCCCAACAGUUAAUGGUGGAGGAUCGGCGGGCAAUAGUUCUUUGGUGACAUCCCUGAUCAAUCAUCAAACCAAGGUAGGAAAGAUUUUAGAUUUAAUAUUAUUGGUUAGGGACUGUCUGUAAGUGGAGGGGGUCAAGAGAAGGAGGAACGAUAGACUCACUCAGACGUGAGGGGUAGACACCAGCUCCAGGGUGGAGUAAGGUAAAUUGGUGUCACAAUAUACCUGUAAAUAAGUAACCUUGUGAGUAUAAGGGGUACAAGUACACAUCGGUAGGUCUUGAUAUAAGAUAUUUAGAGAUGUGUACAGUUACAGAGGGAACAGGUGCACACCUAUAGGUCUUAGAGAGAGACGUAAAAAUUUUCUAGGUGUGCACAGUCCAGGGGGGGACAAAAACGCAUUCUUAACAGGCAUGUGAACCCGUAAAGGGCAGUGCUGGGUCAAGCACUGAGGGACAAGGGACACAUAGAGCCGUAAAUAGGCAGUGCUGGGUCAAGCACAGAAAGCCGAAAAGCACGAGAGGCCAUAAAGGGCAGUGCAUUUACGGCCAGGGAAGCCAAAGUAGGGGUAUGGGAAAUCCCGAGAAGAAUGUAAGACGCUAGACGGGGGUUCUAGUCGUAUCUCGCUCUUCCAACUCUCGAUCACCCACCAUUACAGACGGGGGCGCCCCGAGCUUAGAAAUAGGCCAGGUCAGUGGUUAGGGAAAAGAGUAUCCAAAAUUAGUGUUUAAAAAUAAAUAGUGAUAAUUCAUAUGUGCACCUAUAAAAAAUAUAGGGAUAUAUGCAAAGGGAAAGUAUUGAUUGAUCUGGGAUGCCUCAGGAACAACCCCAAAAGAGCUAAAAUGUAGUUUUCAUGACCCUGAUUGGAUUGGACCAGUAUAUGGAAAUUCUGGAAUAUACUUUGCAAUUUCAUCACGCAGAAGUCAAGUGCUGUUGGUAAGAUCGCCGCCUCAAUAUGUUUUUGGUUUAUGAUAGAAAUAUGACUGACAAAUUAGGUAACCUGGUCAGCCCUGAUAGAAAUAAUGAAACAGAAGAGAGCAAAUGCUGUAAACAGUUUGGCUCUGAAGCUCUGACUUUAAAAAAAUAUAUAUAUUCUCUGAAUUCAUUUAAAGAAUGAUCAGUCUGAGCUUUAAUUCUGAUUGUAAUGUUAAAACAAAAACUUGAUUGGCUUUAAACUUAGAAAGAACCUGAGAAAUAAACAUUUAUAAAUGUAUGUGCCGAUUUGUUAAAAAUAAUCCCAGAAGUAACUGAGUGAUGAUUUAAUCUGAUUCUCUGUGCAUAGAAGGUUUAAAUGACAAAGAAUGAUAUCAUAAGACCUGUUCCAGUUCCUAUAUAAUUGUUGAAAGUCCUGACAAGGAAUACUGAACAGAAUUCUGGGUUAGUGAAAAAAAAAACUGUAGGCACACAAAUUGGCAGUGGCAUUUUGGAAAAACUUAGAAGCUUAUGUUUUGUUAAAAAAGAUAAAAUUACUUUGACUACAAUGAAGCCGUUGUUUUAUCUCAUGCUGGCCCCCACCAUGACUCUGGCUUAAGCUUUGAAAGUACCAGAGACAUGUUCUGAGUAAAAAAAAAAAAAAAAAAAAAAUGUAAUUCCUAUAUUUACUAAUGUUUGGCCAAAAGAGUAAUUUUAUUGUUGGAUUGCAAAAUUGUAGUCACGCAGCAUCAUAAAAAAAGAAAAAAAGAAGAGAAAAGAAAAUUAUUUUUUUGUUUAUGAGAUGAUAAAGUUGUAAACAAGUAACAUAAACGGGGGUUUCAAAGUAACUUUGAAGACAGCAUGCUAGCAAGACCCGAAGUAAUAUACCUGGGUCAGAUAACCUCUGACAGAUUUAAAACCAAUGUUGAAAUUCAGAAGCCAUGGCCAGAAUUAAGUUAAUUAAUAAAUACAAGUUGAUGUAAAAGUAAUGACAAUGACUGCAAAGAACUUUGAGAAACAUUUGAGUUGUGAAAAUAAAGUAAAAAUACAAAUAUAAAGAUGUUUAUUUUUAAAAUGCAUAUAAUUUCUGACAAGUUUUAAACUGGGCUAGAGUAAAAUGAUAGUACGAUGAAAUUAUGUUAAAAAUGAAUGAAAAUGCAUUGUUACGAGUCCUGAAUCCCUCAGAGUUCUCUCUCUCUCUCAUUCAAAGUAAGCUAAAAUGCCGUUAUCUGAGCCUGUGUUUAAGUGAUAAGAUAUUUAUAGUACAGCACAGUGUUUCAGUCAAAUCAUAGGCACUGAGAUGCUAAAGGACAUGAUAAAAGAGUUCAGAUUUAAUGCAUUAAGAGGGCAAUUGGUAGUUAAAUGUUCAACUGCCCAAUGCAUGUAAGAAAUAAGAGAUUAUAAAAAUAAUGAAUAACAAUUUAGGAGCAAUUGUUGAAGAGACAUGAGGGCUUUAAAAUCAUAAUACAGACCCUGAGCUAUAGAUGUAAUAAUUUUGAAUAGCUAAACAGUUAUAUUGCUAUUUGUUCUAUGACCAGUAACUUAUCUGUCUUAUUUUUAGUCUCCACCAUCAUACAGGGCCUGAUGGCUGCAGCUACAGAAGCAACAGAAAAUUACAAUGAAUGGACGGGUGUGAAAAAUAAAUUCACUGAGUAAUCUCAGCAUGAUAGUUUGGAGGUAUCCAAUUGAGUUUAGCGAUUAAAUAUUAGUUUGAUUAACCUUUUUCAAUGUUUUAACACUAGUAGGUGCUGUCAAUGGCUCUCAUGGUUCUUGAGUGCACCUUUCCUUAAGCUGCAGGAAAUACUGGAUUCUGGAAGAAGACUGUCGAGGAUGUUGCAACGGGAAAGAGUGGUUACCAGUGUGCAUGAGGUGAUUUCUCAAUGACGGGUAAGAUCCUCUUCUGGCCAAUAGGGGACAACCUAAGGCAGGGGGUCACCGCCACUGGGCACCUGCCCUGAAGGGAGGUGUUAUAUGUGAGAUGGUAGUGGAGUUGAGCGGAUGCUUGAUAGGCCUAGAGCAUCAUUAAGAGGGGAACUGUAUGAAGUACAGCAAUCUGCCUCAAAAUGUGAGCUCCUCCAGACCUGAUCACCAGCAACCGCAUUCCUUGACUGAUUGUUGUGACAAGCGUCCACAACUUGAUGCAACUAUGCCAGUGGAUCACACCCUGAGGACAAGGAGCUUAUUUAUAAAAAGUUAAUGGCAAUGGGCUUUCAAGAACCAUCUGAGACCAUGUGAUGACAGCCAUUAUUUUGAGACAAAAAUUUCUUAUGAGGCUAAAAUGAUAUUGAACUAAUAUGUCUAUAUCAUAGUCUUUACUCAUGCAGGUCAUUAGGAAUGACACAAGAUGAUAACAAGAUAUGGUGGUGGCUAAAAAUGAAGACUGCUUCUGCUUUCCUAGCAUUAUGUAUUUUAAACAGUUUAAACUGAGAUUUUAGAUCUAGAAACUUUGACAUUUUUAACUUAUUUGAAUAAUUUAGGGUUAUAUGUUGUAAUGAAUUUUAUAUUAUAGUCUAAGUUAAAGUUUGGCAAAAAUUGUCUAAAUAAAUAAAUAAAUAAUUUUUUGCACAGUAAGAGAGAGAGAGAGAGAGUGCUUGAGUGGAGGCAGGGAUAGUGCUCUUCUUCUAUUAUUGGCCUGCUAAGAAAGAGUAACCAAAACAGAGCAAUAAUUUUAAGACCAAAACAACCCAGCUGAUUUUACUCUAAAUAAAAAUCAUUAAAGAACAGGCAAACUUUGAGAUUAGAUAAGAGACUAGGUUCAAACUAGGUAAAAUGCACAGACAAUGUUUAAGUUUAAAUCCUUCCGAUUUAAUACCAAAAGGAAAACCUUAAAUAUGAGCUGUUAAAAUAUUAAUGUGUUAAGUAUGUGCAUGCAUGAGGAUGGCUAUAUAUAUAUUAUUGGGGGACAAUUCUGUUCCUGUUUUGUUUCAAUUGAGUCACUAACCUCUGGAAUGAGUGUUUUAUCAUUACAGAUGUGUUAAGUGAAAUUACUUUACAGAAGUCGAUAAUUCUGAGUGAAACUAAUGAAAAGACAAUGCCAAACAUGGGACGAGCUUUAAGUGGAUUGGUUAUCCAGCUCUGUCUGCUACUGGUAAUAAUGACUUGUUUUGUCUUUUAUAAUGCUGAUUUAAAUCACUCUCUGGAUUAAUAUGUUAAAGAGUGUUUAUAUGAUUGGAUUUGUGAAAUUUAAGUUUGCCGUCCAAAAUGGGUUUAAAAUCCAUGCCUAAAUUUAAAUGAGGGUCUAAAUUUUAACAAGUUAACACUUUGUUGUUUGAAUGGUGAAGGUAAAUAUUUUAGACUUGACGGCAGAAAAACAGUGACAGAUUGGCUACGUCACUAACCAAAUUAUCCAGAGAGCACCCUCACAUAAAGAAGCCUGGUGGGAAAACAAAGGAGUGAAUCCUGCUUGUGUAAUAUAGUGCAAAUCUUUAUGUAGUGGUUUAUGUAGAACAGAGAUAAGUUGAACAAAAACGUGUGGAUAGCCCCUUAAUGGAGCAAAUCCAUAACAAGAGGUUUGAAUUAAUUGAAAUAGCACAGCAAAAAAAAAAUUAUAAUAAUAAUAAAUUUAGUUUGAACAAAACAAUUGUAAUAGGCUCUAUGGAGCUGCUUAUGAACACCUGUCAGGGCUUUUUGAUAAUGUAUACUGUUUCAAUACAGAUUUACAGAAACUGAGGAUGUCUCUUUAAUAAAUAUUUGGGCGUUUAGAACUAAGUAAUAGUAUUGUUCAUUUAGUAAUAGUAUUGGGAAAUCUGUGUGCUCUUUUUCAGUUUAUAAUAAUUUUGAGUAAAUAAAUAUCACUGCCAAAUGACAAACAUGAACAAGGGUUUUAAAGACAUUGAUCACGUAGCUGAUGUGUAAGCAUUUCUAACUGACAAAACAGUGAGAACUAAAUUGACUUAAUACGAGGUAUUGAGGAUUUGCUUCUGAAUGUGUCAUUAAUAUAGUCUGAGUACAGUAAUAUGGUAUGAUAAUUGACAAGACUUACAUUUAAAAAAAAAAAAAAAAAAAAAAAAAAAAAAAAAGGGUAAUAAUAAGGCAAUGAGUAUGGUUAACAGUAAUGUCCUGGUAUAAAAUACAUGCAUGACAAUAAGUGGAUAGGUUAGUUGUAUUUUUGAAGUUAGACACUUAGACACAUACUUAAAAUGUAAUUUUGAUCAAAUGUUGUUAACAAUGACAAGUUUGGGUUAAUGGUUAAUGUAUGUGUAAGCAGCAUGUGAACUAUGAUGACUGCAAAUGGAUUCGUGGUGAAAGUAAAACUUAAUAAAAGGGCUAUUAAGUAAUAAACUAGGAACUGCUCUAAGUUUUCGAGGAAAUAAUGAUUAUGAUUAUGAUUAUUUUUAUUUUUUUAAGAUGGCUCAAUAUUGAUCUUACUUAUUUUUGGUUUGUUUAUUUUUGUGUUUUUUUUUUAACACCAAGUUUGGAGUGAAAGGGUAAAAUGGAUAUUCAAUCACUCUAAUUGCACCAUUGAUUGGGAAAAUUAUAGAUUUUCAUAAAAUAAGGGUAUCUUUACUGGGAUUUAGGUUAUAAGCAAUGUCUGUAUUUGGUAUCUGUGAGGUGACUGAGGGUCUGACAUAUGUCAGGAAUGCAAUAACAGUGGUUAUUCAUUUAGCCCGGCUUCCAGAGAAUAAUAUACGUUUAUUGUAAUGAGUUUAUUUUAAGAUAUGACCAAAUUAACUAAAAUUCAUCAUAGUUGAAUAAAACAUGCUAAAAGAAAACAAAUAAGGCAAACAUCCUUCUUAAGGGUUAAAAAAAAGAAAAAAAGAAUUUGGUUAAAGUGUAUGCGGUUUUCUUUAAUGAUUUGUUAAAUCUGGUUAAUGAAUAUGCAAAUUUAGUCUUAAGGCUGUUGGAUAAAUGUUUUGUUUUAGAGGGUAAGUGUGAAGUAGCUGUAGUAGGAAGAGAGGUAUUUACAAAGAUAUGUUGAUGAAAGUAUAUAUGGAUGGAGGACACUUUUCCAGGUAGAGGGACACACAGAAUAAUUCACUGGAAAAGACAUUAUGUGAAGAAAGACUAGUGCAAGUGGCGAUAUUGUGGGAUUAAGUAAGUAGAUGAAUGUAUAUGGGAAGUAAGAAUGAUUAUGGGAAGUAUUUUGUACAAAAUAAAGUGUUUAUUACUAGAAAUGUCAGCCAGUACCAGAGAUCUUAAGUAUAUGCACAUGUUUAAGUUGACCAACAGCCUGCAUUCUUAGCAUGCAUCACAACUACACCUGACCUCAUUUAUUAGACCAGAUGUGGGGUAUUAGACCCCACAUUGAUCUAAAACGGGGGACUGAAGGAGUGGAUGCCGAUUUGCCAUAUCCUUCAUACUGAUAUUAAUUAUUUUAUUACAUGAUUUCUUGUUUGACUAUUAAUCAAGUUAUAGCAAGAGUGAAAUGUGUAACCUUAUGUGUGCUGUAUUUCUUUUCCUCAAGAUUAAUGUCCACAUAUUAUGUGUGCGUAUCAAACCGUAAUGAUAAGACACUCGCCAGUGCUAGAAAGCCUUGAAUUUUAGAUAAGUUCUCUGUGUAUGUGUGUUAGUAUCUGUCUGUACAGGGAGAAGCUCAGACAGUCCCAGGACAAACGAUCAACUGCCAGUGUCCAGCAUAUCAGAUAUACGUCUUUGGAGAGUUUUAUCUAGGUUUUGGAACCAAUCAGAAUUUUGUUGACUCAUGUAUUGACGCAAUUAGUAUCCUCUGUCAGGGUAUAACUGUGGUUGAUUUUGUAUUGUACUGGGGGCGGCCUGCGAACUCCUUCGAGAGUGUUGAAGCUGACUUCUGCUGAUGAAAUUGCAAACUAUUUUCUUCAAGUAAAAUUAUUAUUAUUAACUGAA